UACAGAGGGGGCAAGCGUUGUUCGGAAUUACUGGGCGUAAAGGGCGCGUAGGCGGCCUGUUAAGUCGAACGUGAAAUCCCCGGGCUCAACCCGGGAACUGCGUCCGAUACUGGCAGGCUUGAAUCCGGGAGAGGGAUGCGGAAUUCCAGGUGUAGCGGUGAAAUGCGUAGAUAUCUGGAGGAACACCGGUGGCGAAGGCGGCAUCCUGGACCGGCAUUGACGCUCAGGCACGAAAGCGUGGGGAGCAAACAGG
rnacentral:rRNA from 1 species